rnacentral:rRNA from 1 species
AUUGAACGCUGGCGGCAGGCUUAACACAUGCAAGUCGAGCGGAGAGAGGUAGCUUGCUACUGAUCUUAGCGGCGGACGGGUGAGUAAUGCUUAGGAAUCUGCCUAUUAGUGGGGGACAACAUUUCGAAAGGAAUGCUAAUACCGCAUACGUCCUACGGGAGAAAGCAGGGGAUCUUCGGACCUUGCGCUAAUAGAUGAGCCUAAGUCGGAUUAGCUAGUUGGUGGGGUAAAGGCCUACCAAGGCGACGAUCUGUAGCGGGUCUGAGAGGAUGAUCCGCCACACUGGGACUGAGACACGGCCCAGGCUCCUACGGGAGGCAGCAGUGGGGAAUAUUGGACAAUGGGCGCAAGCCUGAUCCAGCCAUGCCGCGUGUGUGAAGAAGGCCUUAUGGUUGUAAAGCACUUUAAGCGAGGAGGAGGCUACUUUAGAUAAUACCUAGAGAUAGUGGACGUUACUCGCAGAAUAAGCACCGGCUAACUCUGUGCCAGCAGCCGCGGUAACAC